CACGCAACCUAACCUAACCAAACCUAACCUAACCUAACCUAACCUAACCUAACCUAACCUAACCUAACCUAACCUAACCUAACCUAACUUAACCUAACAAUAGAUGGUAGCCAACUAGCCGGAGAACAUACUUUCAAUCACAAUAACUACGUUUGCGUUUACUAACAUCUUAAUAGCGCGCUCAUUAUCGAGUGAGUAUCGAUGCUCCGACUCCGUACAACCAGCGUUGUACAGAGUCGACUUCGUACAAUCAUCUCUGUCCGAAGUCCGCCAAUCUCGGCUUCGUACAAAAUGGCUUGUAGAGAUCGGACUUCGUACAAAUUCAUUGUACGAAGCUCGACUCCGUACAAGAUCGGGCUUGGGACGUAACAUAUAUACAACGAUUUACUCGUAUUGACUUUUUCCCAUUCCUGAUCAUUCAUUCAUCCCUCUUGACAAGGAUUUUACACAAAUUUAAAAUAAGUUAAUCCCAGUUUUAAAUAUGUAUAUGUAUAAAAAAUUAUAAUUGAAAUUUCUUAGGUGGUCUUAUAGUGUAGUCUCUAAAGCUAAAAAAAGGGAUCAGCUUCGAAAUAAAAUUGAAUAAGUUAAAAGUUUGUAUAAACCCCAGUUCAAGCUCAGCUCUUUCUUUUUGUUUGUUUAUUUUUUAUCACCUGACCCUUUUUUAUCAUAACGACGUCAGAGAGUCAGAGAACAUUUAUUCUCCCCGUAUUUUUCAUUAACUUGUAGUAGAAUAUAAAUUUCAUUUUCAAUAAUUUCUGAUAACUGAGAGAGACCAAUAUCAUAUUGGUAUCAAAGCGUAAAAUAAAAAAGUAAUAACAUGGAUAAAUCGAUACGUAUGAAAUAAUAUUGAAUUUUUUGCAAUUUGCUGAAUUCACGAUAAAGAACAACUUAGAGCUGGUACACGUUUAUUUACAAAAUAAUAUUUACAUAAAUUUUCAACUAAACCAACGCAAAUUAGUAGGCGUAGAACACACAUCAGAAAAGCGUUUGGGAAAUUUAAACAUAUUUUUAAUCUUGACAAUUGACAUUGAUAGUAAUGACAGAUUUUUAUUACACCAGCGCCAUGAUUCAUAAGGUGUUGUGUUGCUGAAAUUUAGAUGCAAGUCAACUUUCUUAUUGGGUAUGUUCUGUGCUUCCUGGACCAGUCGCUCACGUUUAGUUGUUGUCGCGUCGUAGUCACGUUGCAUCUCAUCGCUGGGAGUUCUCUUACAGCGAAAUACAAUUGCUGAUGAAGGACUUCCAUCACCAAAUGCGCUUUACAACCCAAUACUUUAUGGUUGAGUAAACCUUGAAAUCAUAGUAGAUCAUAUUGAACUACAAUAGAGACCACGUCUUGUUUAAGCCACUCUUAAAAACUCUUAAACAUCGUGGCCACUCUCAUGUGGUCAUACUGUCUCUAUAAAGCCACUGUAGUCAGAGUUAACCACUGAAAGAAGAAUAUAGAGUGACUCUCGUAUAAAAGAAGCACAUUAUCUUGUAUAACUGUGCAAUUUUCAUCUGAAUUUUUAAACAAUAAGAUGUCUUUAGCUCGAAUGUGACACCUUACGUAAUUGAAAAUCGUGUUUAGACGUGGUGAACAAAAAAAACCUGCUUGAUUAUCUGUAGUUAUGAAACCAGUUUGAUAAAUAUGAAAUGUGUAAUGCAACAAUUUUAUAGUAAGUAAAAAAAAUCUAUAAAUCUUUCCAUAUUAUACCUAUUGCACAGAAAAAUUAUAUCUAUGUAAACUAAAAGUAAAGUUUAAGUGCUUAGCUAUACAUUAACAAUUGAAUCAGUCUACCACAACUUGUCCACUUUUGGAUAUAACAGAGGGUCCAACAACUCCAAGUAUAUUAUAUUAUAGUCAUAUUCUCCCAAUUAUUUUAUCAAAAAACAUCUAUGAAAUAAAAAAAUUGACGACACUGAAGGGUUAAAAAGUGUACUGCCCUUCACAAAAAAUAUUGUCUAAUUUUCAACGCUAGUUUUAUUUUAUUUACAGGGUAUUUCUAAAUUCAUGCGACAAAAUUCAGGAGAUGAUUGCUUCGUAUAAAAUUGAGAUGGGGCCUUCCUAUAACAAAAUUUCCUCAACCCAUCCUUUUCCGAGAUAUAACCCUUAAAAGGUGGUGACUAAAAUUAGGUUUUUAUUUUUUGAUAGUUAGUCCUUUGCGAGUGUACGAAAAUUACAUAAUUUAUUUAUAGCAUUAUUGAAAUUAAAAAAAAAAUAAAAACAACUUUUAAGGUUGAUAUCUCUGAAAGGGGUCGAAAAUGUUGUUAUAGGAAAGACCCAUCUUCAUUUCAUACGAGCAAUCACCUUCUGAAUUUUAUCAAAUGCAUUUAAAAACACCCUGUAUAUAAACAUAAAAAUAAUAAAAUCGCUUUAUGUCGUAAUUAAUUGAUUGCGAUUAAUUUCUUACCAAUAAGUUUAAUAAAGUCCAUAAUUCUACAAGUAAUAUGCAAUGUCAAUAUACAUGUACAUGGAUCAAUAAGCUGCAAAAUGUUUUUGAAAACAUUACAAAAAAAAAUAGAUAAAUAAGGGCAAAGAUCUCUUAAAUUUUUUAUGUAAUUAACUACAUAUACUAUUAUAAAAUCUUUUAGUUGAUUUCAUUUUUGAUUCUGUGACAAAAAGAUAAAGUGUCAUAAAGUUUAGUAAAGUAAAGUUUAGUUGUUUGAUGUUUGCGUUCAUACCUGUUCAUUCAAUUUUUGGUAGACGCCCUCUUUCUUAUUUUAUUUCAGAUUUUCAGCAUCAUUUUUUUGAAAAUGUUUUUCAAUUGAUAUUGUUCUAAAAUGUUCUUACUGAACACACUGUUCCCGCCACAACUACACCAACAUUUACAAUUGCAAUGUCUGACGCGCGUUUCGAUAACCAACUUAUCGUCUUCAGAGACUGAAGGUAAACAGAAGACGAUAAGUUGAUUAUCUAAGCGCGCGUCAGGCAGCGUAAUUGUAAGUGUUGGUGUAAUUGUCGUGGGAACAGUGUUUUCAGUAUGAAUAUCACCAACGGAUCUAGAAAUGGUUUUGAAUAAAUAAAUCAUUAUCAAUAGAGUUACGCCGAAGCAGCUAAAAUUGGCUCUUGCCACUUAAGGAGUAUGUUCUACAAAGCAAUUCAGGAUUUAAAUUAGGAUAAUAACAUCAAAUAGUUUUGAAAUUAUUCUUAUCAAUCAAAACAUUUAUCACGAAAUUAUAAUUAUACAGUCUAAAUAAAAAAAAUUACUAAUAUAUUUCAUCCAUUUUAUCUCCAAAAGUCAACAAUUUAUAUUUUAUGGUUAAUGGUCACCAAAAAACCAUUCUGGGUGGAGUAAAACAUUAUAUUUCUUACAUUUAAAUACACUUUAUAUUUAAAUUGUACACAUUUCCUCUGGAAAGGCAAAAGGUCAAUGCUAGAACCUAACUGCCAUCCUUAGACCAUAUAUUUAUGGUCCAGAAAAAAAAGGCCACCCCGUUUUUUAGACCUUGUUCCAAUACUAUAUGUGGGUAUGAAUUGGUUGAUCAAAUUGAUUCCUCCCACAUGAACUAGAAUCAUUUAAAUCGAUAUUAUCGAUGUUUUUAGAAUACUGAUUCGCGUAUUUUGGGAUCCUGGAACACAAUUUCUCUAAACCGAAACGACAUUAUUGUGAUUUUAUUAGACCAUAUUCAAUAUCUUAUUGGAAAUCAUUUGAUAUUCAUCCUUUACUUCUCAAUAAAAUGAAUGUUUGUAUCAUGUAGAAGUAGUUUUCUAUAAUUUACUGUAUUUCCACGUAAUGCAUCUUUUCCCACAGGACUUUAUUGUUAAAUUUUAGUUAUAUCCUCAAUAUAAAUUUUAUUCGUAUGUUUUCAUAGUAAAAUUGAAUUAUAACUGUAGAUAAUUAAGAUAUAGCAAGAUAGUAAAAAGUUGUUCGGUAUUUCACGAAAAAAGCAGCAACUUAAGUUAUAUCAAAACUUGAACAUAACUCCAUUUUUUCAUUAUAGUAAAAUAAAGAAUUAAAGAAUAUGAAAAUUAGAGCUCUGUAAAAAAAAUAACUUUUAUCUUUCCAUAACGAAAUCAAAUAGAUAACAAACGAAAAAGAAGUUACCCGAAACACCUCCCUUCCACAUGAAUCACAUGAUAUCAUCUUGUUUAUUUUUUGCCUUCACCCCCUCAACAUCUGAAUCAUCAUGCAACUUAGUUGCGAUUGGUCACUAAUAUGUUAAACAACUUUGUAAGAAAGCUGUUGGGGUGUUUUAAAUCCAUUAUUCCUCUUCCAUUCUUUGAUCGUUAAUAACUUCUUAGAGUAUAAUUACCUUAACAUCAAAAGCGUUCCUAAAGUCUGUAGAAGAAGGUAAACGCUUGAUGUGACGAUACCUACAUGCAGACUGUUUAUGUACUGGCAACAUGUGAGCUAUAAAAUAGUGUCUAGUAUGGUUUGAAGUUAUUGAAUAAAGUACCGUCCCACUACUUUAUAAUUAUGUUGAUCUGUUACCACAUUUAUUGUCACAACAUACUAUAAAUCUAAGCUCGUAGCUCGUAUUCGACGAUACAUACUGUCUGCAUGCAAAUAAUCAUUCCUUGCCUUGGAAUAAACCGAUUUCUAACUUCUAAUCCUCGAUCUUUUCGUUUUGUGAAUGCCUCUACCACGUCUAGAGCAACUUCCACUUUAAUUCACCUUCAGUAUCUAAGGUAGCUAAGGUAGAUAACUUGGUUAUGAAACGCGAAACAAUAAUUGUGAAUGUUAAUGUAGUGGUAGUGUUAACUAUGACUAUUAUGAACAGCUCUAGAAAUGUUAACUUAAUCUAAUCUUUGGAUGAGGACCAUUGGAAUGUUGCUACAGAGCUCAACACUACCAAUAAGUACAAUUGCUUAUUUUAUUGUGUGGUUUACAUCGUGAACAAUUAAAAUUAAUGUUUACUACUAUCUACUAUCAUCAGAAUAUCAGAAACGCGAAUAGUGUUCUGAUAGUUCAUAGGGUGUGGGCGGCCGUUGAACACAUAGACCUUCAGCUAGGCCCAUCGUGCCCCACUUGGCCCACCAAAGUCCUAUGUCUUUGGGAAGCCGAACAGGCUCUUUGGCUUGAACCCUUUGAUGUCGUUAGGCAGGUUGUUGGGUUUGCCCUGCACUCACAGAUAAAGUGGUUUGCAGUUUCGUCCUCCUCCAUGCACCAGCGGCCCUGCGGAUCAUCCGUGAUGCCCACGGUGUGAAGGAGACGUCUUAGAUGGUAGUGGUCGGUUACUAAUCUGAUUUCGCGCCUAUUUAACUGGAUCAAUUGUUUGGUGAGAGACGAGCGGGGUCCAUCUAUAUGGGCCUUCGCUUGUCUCAUGUCAGGCGUCUCCAUCCAUCUUUGUCGAGCCUGUCGUGCGAGAAGGCUGUUGAGAGACCCUUUUAGCCACACCAAGGAUGGAUUCUGAGAUUGAAGAUAGUGUUCUGAUGAAGAUUUCGGAAGUACUCAUUCGAACACAUGUUCAUCCGAAUUCGCAUCUAUACUAAUCAUAGAGUGAGGUGUUAAAAGCGUUUUUGCGCUUGAAUCAUAGCAGAUACAUAGCAGAUUACAUGUUUACGAAUACGUUAUUCGAAAUAAAAUCACAAAAACCCAACGGUGUUAAAUCUGGCGAGCGAGGUGUUACAGCCUUUUUAUUUAUAUCGACUGAUACUUGUCCUAGAUAUAAUUAUAUAAAAAAUAAUAGAGCGUACUUACUACGGUUCUAAAAGAACUUUGAUCGGAGAAUCCAAAGUCAGACAAUUAUUUUUAUUUCAUAGAUUUUAAAACUUACUUGAUAGUUUAUAGAAAUUGCAAUAUGUAUAUCUUGAUAAAAAUGAAACUGUACGGAUUGUUAUUUUCACAAAAAAAUAUUGUAUUUAAAUGAACCUUAGCCUAAACUGUUCUUAUGAUUUGGAAAACAACAAUCUGAGGGUAUUUAUAUAUAAAUAUAUAUAUAAAAAAAUUAAUUGUACAUAACUUUUUCCUCUAGUUGAAAUUUUUACUCAGGCAAAAGUCAAAUGAAAGUAGUCUUAGAAAAUCUAUAUACUGCUACUGAAUAUAUUGCAAUAGUGAAAAGUUCACCAAAAUGCAAUCAAAAUCAAAUUAUCAACGGUAAUAAAAAACUGGAUAUAGUAUUUUCAAAUAUAUACUUAAAAGCUCAUAUAUGUAUGUGGUAGAUAAACAUGGUGUACAAUAUGAUCUAAAAAGUUUGAACGACAACUCAGUACGAGUUGAAUGUGCUAGGUUAGUUGAGUUGUCUCCAGGUGCAAUCGUUAUUUUCGACAAAAUUAUAUUUCAACAAUAUCCAACAAUAGUUACCUCUGCUCAAGACACAAUGAAUGUUUAUAUAAGGGGGGCAAAAUCAAUACUAUCCCCCCAAUAUUAAAAUGUAAAACUUGAUACUUCAAGCGUUAUUUCCUUUAUUACCUACAUCUGUGAUGUAAUUGCUCAAAAAACAUUUCCAUCUAUUAAUAACUUACUAGGGACUUUUCAUUUAGAUGUGCGAUAGUUGGAUAGAAGCUUUGACUUCAAAUUGUUUGCUUGGAGAAAGCAAAGUUCUUUUUUUAUUCGGGGAAAUAUUUUUUUUUGGUGGACUCAACUGCUUUUUAAUAUUAAUUUGCAUUUCAAAAACCAUUUUUCUGGUAAUACCAAAUAUACAUCUUGGUUUACAACGAACUCUGACGGCUUUCAAUUUCUAUCCACCAUCUCUAUCCUGCCAUAGGUCUUCUGUUAGUUCUCUGUCUAGCAUUUCCUUCCAGCUUUUAUGUGGUCUUUCUGUUUUCCAUUUUCCUUGGGCUGUUCACUUUAGAAUCUGUUUAGGCAUUCUAUUGUAUGAUUAGUUAUUUGGUUUUGAUCUCCUGUAUUCUGCCAUUUCUCAUCCUUUCCCUUCUGGAUUGGUUCGCUGUUUUUAUCCAGAAGUCCAUUUGGUUCUUAAUUAGCAUUUUUCCGUAGAUUACAAAGAUUUUAAGGUUUGUGAUCAGAGGAUUAGAUCCCGAGGUCCCGGUAUCCCGGACGAUUUUAUAUACCGAAGAUUUCGGGAUUGUAAUUAACUAAUUCCAACUUUUAUAUGGAGUCACUUUUUAACAGCGAAAGCUUUGCCCCAACUAUUUUGAAAAACGCAGGAGGACUUGCCAAAUAAUUGCAACCCAGAUUUAUCCUCAAAAAAUUUUGAAAAAUAGAAAAAGCAAAAACAAAAUCCACGGGCAGUGUUAAAGAAUCCAUACUAUUUCAAUGAAAAUGACAGUCUUAAUGAUGUUUUGUCGCGAAUGGCUGCCGUUGAUGAGUUUUCCAUUUAUCAUUUUUGUAACGUCAAAAUAUUUCAGAAAGUUUCUUUGAUCUAAAGGUUAUAGUGAUUUACCUAAGUCUACUUCAGUAGUACUCGAUUUUGUGGUUCUAAUCUUCAAAUGAUUGCAUGCAUCCUCGAAAAAUGACAUUAUUUUGCAAAAGUAUUUGAAACUGAACCAAAAAAAAUCUUGUUUGUUCCUUGAUUGCAAGACUAGAUGCAAAAGUCUCUUUAUAAUGCUUGAACACUUUAUGCUCCUUAGGCCCAUUGUGAUGCCCUUGUUGACUUUUCAGUCAGCACCAUUUCAUUCCCCUUCCCUAUAUCUUCUGUUGCCAGGUCCUUGCCUUCUUUCCAAGCUUUUCCAGUUUGCAAUGAAGCCAAGUCCUUAACACCCAACUCCGCUGCUUUUUCCAGACAUUCAAAUGUUUCACUCCCCAUGCAUUGUAGUCGUUUCGACGCCAAUGCUGUGCAGUAACACAUUAGGUGUCGGUUCUGAUACCCUGAUUCUAGAGCCUAAUGUGCAGUGACCGGUAAUCACUGCUACGACCCUUCGGAUCGAGGCUUUCCCAUAGCCUAGCAGUUCUGUUGUCUUCCUCUUCUGUGGCACCGGCCACCAGGAGUCAUCUCUAUUACUCCAUUGCUUGCUGUGCUCUCCCUCUAAUGUUCUAUCUAUCGUGUCUCUCAGGAAGCUAGCAUAAAUUCUUUUGAGCACACUGUUCGAAGACAGGAAGUCCAAGGUUACAGAUGCAAUGAAAACAAAGCGCCUGAAGUGGGCCAAUGUCAAAGAUUUGGAAUAAAGAUCGUUAAAUAAAGCAAAGAAAGAUGUACAAAGUAUAAUCCUGACUGUGCUGUCCCAGCGGUUAACAUCGUAGCAUAGUGAUGAUUUGGUCAGUCAUCAGCGGCAAAAGCACUGGACGUCUUUACAUCAUAAGAGAAAUAAUGAGGCAAGAUCAGUACAAAGAAGUGUUACAAAAUCGGUUGAUUUCGCGGCUCAGAUAAUGGUUUCCAAAUGGGGAAAUAUUCACUUUUAUGCAAGAUGGAGUUCCCUGUCACACUGCUCGGCUAAAGCUCUUUUGGCAAAAGAAAAUAUCCCUAUAUUGAAUUGGCCAUGUAAUAAUCCUGAUAUGAACCCAAUUAAAAAUGUGUGGGAGCUGAUGCAAAGGAAAGUGGCUGAAGAGGUGAUCACCAAUCUUCAUGUGUGGAAUCACCAUCUUCAAAUGCGCUUGAUUAAAGCUUCAAUAGGGACUGAAAGUGGUUUAGCUAAAUAUUGAUUUUAGUUACAUUAUUUUCAUUUUUCUUUUAAACCUGAUAAACAUAUGAUUUUCUAAAUUUAUGCUGUUUUAUUUUUGUUAAAUUAAUCAGUAAUUGAUUAGAAGAUGUAAAAAUUACAAAAAGAAUCAAUUUAAAACAAUGAAACGGUACAAUAUCACUCUUAGGCGUCCAAUAAUUUGGCCAGGUGCUGUAGAUUGUGCAAGGUUAGCAUAUUAUGCAAUAGAAGUUCGGCAACCUCUGCAAAAUAUCAGUAUUACCUUAAGUAUGACCAAAUUAAAGUCUUUUUUUUAUUUUCAGUCGAUUUAUGAACUGCGGCUACUAAAACUAUUUUGAUCACAUGCGAAAGGACAUAUAUGUGCGACACGUUCAUUUCUAGCGUAGAUAGUUGAUUGAGAAAAAAUUGGAUUUGUUAUGAUGAAGAACUGAUUAUAUCAGUGAAUCAGAACAGAUUGCAUAGAAUCAUUUUUGUUGUAAUUUGUUGACCUUCAAAGACUGAUAGUCAAAAUUUUCUGGUAAACAUAAUAAUUUUUGGUGAGGUUUUUACAUUGCUACCUAGUUUUUAUCUUUUCUCGCAUUGUUAUGGGUUUUCUCCUAAUUAAAUAGGUAUCUGAUUACCUAUGUGAUAUUAAUGUAAAUUUUAAAGCAAUGGAAUUAUCAAUUUUAAAUUCGUGCAUGUUUAAAUAAUUACACAAUUUAACAAAUAAAAGUACAUUGGUAACCCAAUUGAAACGACUAAAAACAUUUAGUUAAUGAAAUGUUAUCCAAAGGUUUUUGUUGAAUUUACCACAAAAACGUUUGUUCAUCUCGCGUUAUCAAAAUUAAUAAUUUGCGUCAAUUCUUCAUGUUUACACUUUUGUUUUUUACAAUACUUCAAAGCAAACUAUUGAAACUAAUUCAGUCGUCUUCGAAACACAAGAUAAUAAAGGUCAAUUUAUAAACUGUUACGCUCUCGUCCGCGCUUUCGCCCUCAUUCGUGUUCAGCAUAAACAAAUUACGAAGCGUCAUUUAUAAAUGCAAAUGCUCACGUUCAAGCUCUCGCCGAGGUCGCGCUAUUUUAUGUUCGACGCUCGCGCUCCAGCGACUAACCAAUGAAUACAUGAUAUCAUUUUUCUAUAAUAUUGUAGUCCUCCUCUUUGUUUUCUAUCCCUAUUUAUUGGGCGCACUUUAAAUGGUCGAUGUCGUUUCCUUUUUUAAUUUAACCAAAGUACCAGUGAACGCUGCUACCUGUGUUAAUACUUUCUUUUCUUGCUGACCAAAGAACAUUUUUAAGAAAAACUACAAAUAUAACUAGGUUAGAAAUAACAUUAGAAAAUGAUGAAACUUGAAAAAAAAACAAUGAGAUGUUUCUUCUACCAUCCAAAUGAAAACUACAAGUACGAAAAAUAGUUUGUGGUUAUGUGAAAUUUCACUUUGGCCGAUUAAAGUUCCAGUGACAAAGGGAAGUCAAAAACUAAAAGUAAGAGUUUAUAAGCCCAACUUAAGCCACGAAAAUUCCACGCAGUUGCUUAAAUUCUCCCGAUUAGUUUUGUUGUGGAAACCUAACCAAUUGGUCUCAUGAAAAAGAUUAUUGAAUGUUAUUUUUGUCCCACUGAUCUCAAAGGGCAAAACGGUGAAAAGCAGCAUACUCUAAAGUAUCCCGACGUAAGUUUGGUUGACAAACCUGAUUUUCGUUAUUUGCCAACGCAUUCAUCACUAGACAAUGAGACAUAGUCAGACAGUCCGGAAGAUUCGUCUUCUGAUUCAGAUUACCAUGAGCCUUCUACUAACAAGCUUCUUGUGAAAUAACAAAGACUCAAUGAUCUAUCCAUAAUCUGAAUAUAUCGAAAGAAAGGGCCGAACUUUCAGGAUAAAGACUGGAAUUUGCUCAAACCAGGAGUCGGCAUAUGUAAAUAUCGCAAAUAUCACAGUUUUAUAACGGCCUGUUGCUUGAAGUAGGCCAUAAUAAUGUUAUUUUCGAAUGGCGGCGUUUCAUCGACUCCUCUGAGACUAGUCCCAAAAGCCGUGCUUCCAAUUAUUAUUAACAAACUUUCAUCCACAAUCCGUCCUAAUUUCAAAGAACCGUGUAAAGUUUUGAGACUUGUUUUGGACAAAAUAAUCUACAAAGACUUCCAGUGGACCAUCUGUGCUGAUUUAAUUUCAAUUUUAGGUCAAACUGGCUAUACCAAAUUCAGCUGUUGUAUCACAUUGGCCUGAGAGAACAGCCUAUAUAUCUGGCCAGAAAAAUGUAAGCAAUUAGUCGAUCCCAAAAAAAAAUGUUGCUACCUUUACAUAUAAAGUUGGGAUUACUAAAAACAACUACGUUAAGAUCAUGGACAAAAAUGGUCAUGAAUUUCAAUACUUGAAAAAUAAAUUUCCUUCUCUUAUGAUCAAUUUUACAGCCUACUAGAGAUUAAACUAUGAUUUGAACUCUAGUUUAAACAAAGAACCAACCAGAUUGAUCUAUUCUACAGGUCAAAGUUAAACAGAUAUUUUUCUGUUAGUUGUCACAAACAUGAUCAGAAUAUUACCGAUUUUUGUUUUAAAGUUGAAUUGUUUAAGAAAAUUUGAUAAGAAAUGAAGAAAGAACCAAAAAUCGUGCAAUUCCUACGAAGAUGCGCUUUUGGCAAGGAAACUUAAUGAUGAAUAUAACAUAAACGGUUAUGUUAUCGAUAGAACAACAACAAAGAUUCGCUCUAAAACAAAUCACUUUUAUUUUCUCGGCGCGUCGACAAUGUUGAUAAUUUCAUAUCAUCUUCAUCGAGUUCAUCAAAUAUAAAGUGCAAAUCUUUAAUCAUUCUACCAAAAGCCUUUAUAAUAUUGUAAAAAUAUAAAAAAAAUUAACAGGUUGAGUUCGGAUCUUUCGUUUCAUGUUAAACUGAAGCUUAAACUACUCCCUGACCGUAGGUAAUGUUUAAACCGAAGUUUUUAAGUAAACAACACCAUCUAUAAAACGUGAAAAAAACGUAAUUUAAACCGAUUUUUGAGGUUUAAACUUCACUUGUGGAAUAAGGCCUAAACUAUGUCAAGAUAAAUGAAGAUAUUUGUUGGACAGUUAUGGAACUCAUGAAGGAUCCAAAAUUUCUGGCAGCAUUAACGACGUUGAAAAAGAAGCCUAAUAAUGACCAAAACUUUUCUUCACUAUCACAAGUAUAUGAGUAUCGUCAAAACCAUGUUAGAAGCUAUAAAAAAUGAGAUGUAAGAUGUCCUUAAAAUUCACUAUUUGAAUCUUCUAUGCUUGCCAAUUAUUGUUGGUCUAUCAUUAGAGAAACACCGGAGUCAUCCUACACUAGACAAACCAAAGUAUAUAAGCGAUCGAAUUGUUUUAAACCAUUGUUAAUACACUGGCGAGCAAAAAAUUGAGGUCACUUCAGAAAUUGCAAAUAAUUUUAGCGUCAAUAUUGAUAAGGAUUAGUAGGCAUUAAAGCAAAUUUUUCCAGUUUACUUUAGAUCCGAUUGUUGUGGCAAGAAUUGUUGCGCUGUUACAAGAUGGUCGGAGGCAAGAAUUUUUGGUGCUAGUCUUUGUGGUGUGCAAAGGGUGCUUUCUGGAGACUGGCCUGAUCACUAGAAGACCAACCACACUAUGCGUCCAAUCAUACCAGCUUCUAACGUUGGAAGCAUUGUAUACACCAUGUGGUACCGUCUUUAGGUGGGAGAACAAAGUUAAUAUUUUACUUACCAGUAAAAGUUGUUAUGCUUAACAAUGAUAAGAAUGACAUAUACAUAGUUUAAUAUAAAGGUUGAAUGAUUGAACUUGAGAUUGAGUUAUAAACUGGCGGUAGUGAAAUUUUUUUCAUAAAGUAUGUUUGCAAUUACAGUUUCAAACAAUAUUUGUAAUUGAUGAAGAAAAAACAUUGAUUUAUUAGACGUAUAAUGAACUAUCUUCACAAAAACAAAAUGUAAACUUCUUGAAAAACUAUUUUAAGCUUCUCCCGUAAGUUUAAAAAUUUUUUUUGUUAUAAAACCUUCCUCGCAGGUUACUAUUAAUUAUAUUUUUCUCUGCAGGAUUGAAAUGGUUUCUUUUUUAUGUCGCACUCGCUCAUAGUGUGUGCGUCCGUCUACUAUCGUACGUCGGAUUUAAUUUAAAAAAUUUAGUACCAAACAGCUCCGACUGUAUUAUUCCCUGUCGCCGGUCAUUUGGCUCAAAGUACUACUCGAAAUUUAUAAUAUUGAGCGGUUGGAGAAGCGUCGAUGAGAUGCUGUCUCAAUUGGAUUAUUAAGAAUGUACUCAUGUAAAAAUUCUGCACCAAUAUUUUUAAAAUAUUUUGAUGUUAUAAACUCGAAAUUCCGUAUUUUCCACUGUUAACCAAUUGUCAAAAUGUACAAUACAAUAUUAUUCUAAAAUAUAAGCAAAUUUCAAUAGAAAGAUGAUUAGACAAACCUGUAUCAUUGACUGCAUAUACAGCUAGAAGUUAAAGUAAAAUCGUGCAAUAAAGUACUCAAAAAUCCAAUCAAAUAAAUUUUAAUGAAGUAAAAUUCAUAUAAAUAUAUGUCGUUAAUAAAUUACAGGUUGACAAAUGGUCAAAUAAAUUAAAAUUCAAUUUCACAUAGAUGAUUUUUUUGUCCUUAAUGACACUACUGGCAAUCAAAAGUUAUAACAAGAAACGAAUGAAUUUUAAACGAAAAAAAAUCUGUGUGUACGUUCACUGAAUUGUAAAAAACUUUUGUUUCUCAAAUAUAAAAUAAAAGCUUGGUGUGUAAAGUCAAUUUUCUUUUAUAACCUUCUGAAUGUCCCAAUUGCAUAUAUAGGAUAUUAGGAUAUAAGGAAAGUGAUUGACUACUCUUAGGACAAUGAGAAGGUAAUAAAAAAAAAGUGACUGGGAAUUCCCUGGAUCAAACGUUCGUCAAUCAGGGGUUGAAGGAUUGAAGUUUUAUUGAGGAAGUUGUACGGGGAAACGAUCGAAAAAUGAAAAAUAUCGUGAAUAGAAUUGUACUUUUAUUAUCUUACUUAGAUACCAAGAUAGCAUAGAGGCCAAAGUCAAAUCUAGAUGUUGAGAUGAAUAGUUUUGGAGUAAAUUAGAGAAAUCUUAUUUGAAAUAAACAAUCUAUGAACCCUUAACUCGAAAGUGUUGGAUACAAGAUGUUAUAUUACAAGAUCUAUUCAUUGUACGUUUGAUUUACUAUAAAAAAUAUUAUCGUUUCUUACUUUUUGAGCCACCUCUAUCAACAAUUUCUUCAAUGCCCCAAAACGGCUUCCUCUUAAUAACCGCUGCUAGAAUUUAUUUGAAAAUGCAUACAAGGAUCUAUGUCCAAACCCUAAGGGAUCCACCAGCGGGAGCACCAAAUUUCUUUUUAUAAAAAUAGUAUACAACAUAAAGUUAUAUACCUCAAUUAAUAAUUUCUCUAUAAUCAUCAGAAAUAAUAAUAGGAUCUAUUGUUUUCUCUAUAAAUAAAUCAAAUUUUCAUAAUUUGUCUUUUUCAGUUUUGAGAUUCAAAUAUUUAUAUGGAAUCACAAAAUAGUUAACGAACAUAAUGAAAUUUAAGUGUUGAAACAGAAUUAGGUGUUUUCUCAAUGAUUUUCAUGAAUUUUUCAAUACUAUAAGAUGUGGAAAUGAUUCAGUGAAAGUAUUACGAGGCAUAUUUUUUAAGUAAGUACCGUUUGGAAUUGAAAAAAGAAUAUCUAAUCUAUUUUUCUACAUAAUUUCCGUGAAUAUUUUCAGAAAAAUAUUAAAUCUGGAAAAGUUCUACUUUAUGGUCUACAUUCUAGAUGAUUAAAAGUACUCCAGCAAUAAAACAAGAUGUUCACAUCAACAAAUAUCCAAAACUCAUUAAUUUCCUGAAAAAACAAAACAAAGGGUACACUGCAAAAAAAUCAAAAACUUUAACCAGAGAAAAUAUAAUAGAAUUCUUGUUACAUUCUUAUGCGUCGUCUAAAAAAUGUUGUUUACACCGCGGCUGAAAUACUACUUUGUUGGACUCGUCUGUUGCUCGCCCCGUUUCGCCCGUUGCUCGCCCCGAUUCGCCCGUUGCUCGCCCGAUUCACCCGUCUCGAAAUUUUCAGACUCGUCCCCUAUGUUUUUUUGUAUCUGUUUUUGAAUCCUGCUUCUUCCGUACAUUCUUCCCAUGACACAUCUCCCAGGACAAUUAUACAAAUUAUACAAAUUUUGACCUUAUUAGAUAGUUUUUUACUUCUGAGAUUAUAACUAUUGUUACUAUAGGUAAUUAAAUAUUUACGAAAUGGUCCAUCAAAUAAAAUUUAAACCUUUUCUAGCUUUUUGUAGCAUUUUUAAUUUUUUGAAAAUAUAAAAUAAUACAGAUACUUUUUAUAUAACCAUGUAAUUGUUACUAAAACGUCAAAGUUGUUCAAAACGUCUUGGAAGUGAUGGAAUAUGUGCAAUCUUCUUCUCAAUUAAACCACAUUAAACCGAAUCCGAUACAAUAAUAUUAAUGGAUUCAUCCGACGAAUAACUUCCCGAAACCAUUUUGAAGGCUGCAAAUGAAACUAAUUCCGAGCUGUUACCUGCCAAAUGACUUAAAACUGUCACCGUUAUCGUUACCUUUACGCGACCUGCAACCGAUGCCAUCCUCAACUCCAGUUGAAACCAAAUAACUCCACUGGACCGGCAAUUCUUACUAGUCUACAGAGCACAACAAAUUGUGUUUUCAAUAUUAAUAUUUAUAAUAAUUAGUAGUUUUUAAUUAAAGUUUUUUGUAUAUACGGUCGUAGAAAAAAUAAUGUUCCUAACUCAUGCGUAAAGUGUCUUUCCCGCACUUGACCGCUUGCCCGCAACGGUCGCAGUCGCGUGCGGGAAAGUAUCACUUUCCGCACUUGUUAGGAAAAUAACUAUUUGUUAUUAUAUCUCUCUUCAAUAUGUAUGCAAAGUCAUGAUUUUAUCAACCGAUUCUAUGAAAUGAAAUGAGAGCACUGCCAUUUUGACAAUUGGUGGGUUUAAAACAUGAAUGUAAUACACAUUUUAUCAAUAUUUAUGAAAAAAACAUCUUAUUAAUUAUUAUUCUCGAAUGAUACAAUUAGUUUUACAACACAAACUGUAAUUCAAACUUAUUUAAUGUUAAUAAAUCUAUUUAACAGUA